AACAUACGUUUCUAUCGAAUCAAAUUUAUCAAAACGGAUUAUUCAAUCAAACUGUUUAUCACUUGCGAAUAACUGUUAUGCAUAUUUACACGUGAUGCUAGUUACAUAUGUGUUAGGACUUAUACUCGCAAGGUCCCGCCUUAACUAGUAUAGUACUAUAGAACCCGAUGGGGUCUAGUUAGGAUGAAUAUCAAUCGCAAUCGCAGCUCGAGUGACUUAGCUGGUAGUAUCUGUCUUUUAUGCAUGUAGGUUGGGGUAUCCCAUUUAUGUAUUUGGUUUAGUCGCAGUCUACAUCAAAUCAAGCUAGGAAGUCUAGAAACUCACCUAAAAUCUAGGUUGUCGGAAUUGAAUUGUUUGAGAGAACAUGAAAUUCGUGACGGCUUAUGUGAUUGUAAUUGUUUAUUAGUAUGGGAUAAUGAACGCAUUAAAUAGU
rnacentral:lncRNA from 1 species